rnacentral:rRNA from 2 species
UACGGAGGGUGCAAGCGUUAUCCGGAUUUACUGGGUUUAAAGGGUGUGUAGGCGGGCUUUUAAGUCAGUGGUGAAAUCUCCGGGCUCAACCUGGAAACUGCCAUUGAUACUAUUAGUCUUGAAUUUUGUUGAGGUAGGCGGAAUAAGUCAUGUAGCGGUGAAAUGCAUAGAUAUGACUUAGAACACCAAUUGCGAAGGCAGCUUGCUAAACAAAUAUUGACGCUGAGGCACGAAAGCGUGGGGAUCAAACAGG